rnacentral:rRNA from 1 species
UGCCAGCCGCCGCGGUAAUACGGAGGAUGCAAGCGUUAUCCGGAUUCAUUGGGUUUAAAGGGUGCGCAGGCGGGCUUGUAAGUCAGUGGUGAAAUCUUGCCGCUUAACGGUAAAACUGCCAUUGAUACUGCAAGUCUUGAAUAUGGUUGAGGUAGGCGGAAUGUGUUGUGUAGCGGUGAAAUGCAUAGAUAUGACACAGAACGCCGAUUGCGAAGGCAGCUUACUAAGCCAUUAUUGACGCUGAGGCACGAAAGCGUGGGGAGCGAACAGGAUUAGAUA